rnacentral:rRNA from 1 species
GACGAACGCUGGCGGCGUGCUUAACACAUGCAAGUCGAGCGGAAAGGCCCUUCGGGGUUCUCGAGCGGCGAACGGGUGAGUAACACGUGAGUAAUCUGCCCUUGGCUUUGGGAUAACUACCGGAAACGGUGGCUAAUACCGGAUACGACAACCGUCUGCAUGGGCUGGUUGUGGAAAGUUUUUUCUGCCAGGGAUGUGCUCGCGGCCUAUCAGCUUGUUGGUGGGGUAAUGGCCUACCAAGGCUUCGACGGGUAGCCGGCCUGAGAGGGUGACCGGCCACACUGGGACUGAGACACGGCCCAGACUCCUACGGGAGGCAGCAGUGGGGAAUAUUGGACAAUGGGCGGAAGCCUGAUCCAGCAACGCCGCGUGAGGGAUGACGGCCUUCGGGUUGUAAACCUCUUUAAGUACCGACGAAGCGCCGAUGAUGGUGGUGACGGUAGGUACAGAAGAAGCACCGGCCAACUACGUG